rnacentral:rRNA from 1 species
AUUGAACGCUGGCGGCAGGCCUAACACAUGCAAGUCGAACGAGUGGCGGACGGGUGAGUAAUGUCUGGGACACUGCCCGAUGGAGGGGGAUAACUACUGGAAACGGUAGCUACUACCGCAUACCAUCGGAUGUGCCCAGGUGGGAUUAGCUAGUAGGGGGGGUAACGGCGCACCUAGGCGCAGAUCCCUAGCUGGUGUGAGAGGAUGACCAGCCACACUGGAACUGAGACACGGUCCAGAUUCCGACGGGAGGCAGCAGUGGGGAAUAUUGGACAAUGGGCGCAAGCCUGAGGCAGCCAUGCCGCGUGUAUGAAGAAGGCCUUCGGGUUGUAAAGGACUUUCAGCGAGGAAGCGUUACUCGCAGAAGAAGCACCGGCUAACUCCGUGCCAGCAGCCGCGGUAAUUC